rnacentral:rRNA from 1 species
AACCUUGGGAAACUGAGGAUAAUACUGGAUAGGCAAUUAUUCCUGUAAUGGUUUUUUGUUUAAAUGUUUUUUCGCCUAAGGAUGGGUCUACGGCCGAUUAGGUAGUUGGUUAGGUAAUGGCUUACCAAGCCGUUGAUCGGUACGGGUUGUGAGAGCAAGAGCCCGGAGAUGGAACCUGAGACAAGGUUCCAGGCCCUACGGGGUGCAGCAGGCGCGAAACCUCCGCAAUGUGAGAAAUCGCGACGGGGGGAUCCCAAGUGCCAUUCUUAACGGGAUGGCUUUUCAUUAGUGUAAAGAGCUUUUGGAAUAAGAGCUGGGCAAGACCGGUGCCAGCCGCCGCGGUAACACCGGCAGCUCUAGUGGUAACAAUUUUUAUUGGGCCUAAAGCGUCCGUAGCCGGUUUAAUAAGUCUCUGGUGAAAUCCUGUAGCUUAACUGU